ACGCUCGACACCUACGGGGGGCAGCAGUGGGGAAUAUUGGGCAAUGGGCGCAAGCCUGACCCAGCAACGCCGCGUGAAGGAAGAAGGCUUUUCGGGUUGUAAACUUCUUUUCUUGAGGACGAAGAAGUGACGGUACUCAAGGAAUAAGCUCCGGCUAACUACGUGCCAGCAGCCGCGGUAAUCUGAGGCGGGCGUGGCGAAGGC
rnacentral:rRNA from 1 species